rnacentral:rRNA from 1 species
GACGAACGCUGGCGGCGUGCUUAACACAUGCAAGUCGAACGGAAAGGCCCUGCUUUUGUGGGGUGCUCGAGUGGCGAACGGGUGAGUAACACGUGAGUAACCUGCCCUUGACUUUGGGAUAACUUCAGGAAACUGGGGCUAAUACCGGAUAGGAGCUCCUGCUGCCUGGUGGGGGUUGGAAAGUUUCGGCGGUUGGGGAUGGACUCGCGGCUUAUCAGCUUGUUGGUGGGGUAGUGGCUUACCAAGGCUUUGACGGGUAGCCGGCCUGAGAGGGUGGCCGGCCACAUUGGGACUGAGAUGCGGCACAGACUCCUACGGGAGGCAGCAGUGGAGAAUAUUACACAAUGGGCGGAAGCCUGAUGCAGCAACGCCGCGUGCGGGAUGACGGCCUUCGGGUUGUAAACCGCUUUCGCCUGUGACGAGGCGUGAGUGACGGUAAUGGGUAAAGAAGCACCGGCUAACUACGUG